UACGUAGGGUGCGAGCGUUGUCCGGAUUUAUUGGGCGUAAAGAGCGUGUAGGCGGUUCGGUAGGUCCGUUGUGAAAACUCGAGGCUCAACCUCGAGACGCCGAUGGAAACCCUCGAACUAGAGUCCGGAAGAGGAGAGUGGAAUUCCCGGUGUAGCGGUGAAAUGCGCAGAUAUCGGGAAGAACACCCGUGGCUAAGGCGGCUCUCUAGUACGGUACUGACGCUGAGACGCGAAAGCGUGGGGAGCGAACAGG
rnacentral:rRNA from 1 species